UGGAUCCAGACUUUGAUCAUGGCUCAGGAUGAACGCUAGCGACAGGCUUAACACAUGCAAGUCGAGGGGCAGCAGGGAAGGAAGCUUGCUUUCUUCCGCCGGCGACCGGCGCACGGGUGAGUAACACGUAUGCAACCUGCCCUGUGCAGGGGGAUAACCGGAAGAAAUUCCGACUAAUACCGCAUAACGCCCGGGGAAGACAUCUUCCUUGGGCCAAAGGAGGCAACUCCGGCACAGGAUGGGCAUGCGGCGCAUUAGCUUGUUGGCGGGGUAACGGCCCACCAAGGCGACGAUGCGUAGGGGUUCUGAGAGGAAGGUCCCCCACAUUGGUACUGAGACACGGACCAAACUCCUACGGGAGGCAGCAGUGAGGAAUAUUGGUCAAUGGGCGAAGCCUGAACCAGCCAAGUCGCGUGAGGGAAGACGGUCCUAUGGAUUGUAAACCUCUUUUGCCGGGGAGCGAAGCCGGGCUCGUGAGCCCGGAAGGAGAGUACCCGGAGAAAAAGCAUCGGCUAACUCCGUGCCAGCAGCCGCGGUAAUACGGAGGAUGCGAGCGUUAUCCGGAUUUAUUGGGUUUAAAGGGUGCGUAGGCGGACUUUUAAGUCAGCGGUAAAAUGUCGGGGCUCAACCCCGGCCGGCCGUUGAAACUGAGAGUCUUGAGUGGGCGAGGAGUAUGCGGAAUGCGUGGUGUAGCGGUGAAAUGCAUAGAUAUCACGCAGAACUCCGAUUGCGAAGGCAGCAUACCGGCGCCCAACUGACGCUGAGGCACGAAAGCGUGGGGAUCGAACAGGAUUAGAUACCCUGGUAGUCCACGCAGUAAACGAUGAAUGCUCGCUGUCCGGGACUUCGGUCCUGGGUGGCCAAGCGAAAGCGUUAAGCAUUCCACCUGGGGAGUACGCCGGCAACGGUGCAACUCAAAGGAAUUGACGGA
rnacentral:rRNA from 1 species